rnacentral:rRNA from 3 species
GGACUACCCGGGUAUCUAAUCCCGUUUGCUCCCCUGGCUUUCGCGCCUCAGCGUCAGAAAGGGUCCAGCACGUCGCUUUCGCCACCGGCGUUCCUUCGGAUAUCUACGCAUUUCACCGCUCCACCCGAAGUUCCACAUGCCCCUACCCCCCUCGAGAUACCCAGUAUCGGAGGCCGUCUUCCGGUUGAGCCGAAAGAUUUCACCACCGACUUGAGUACCCGCCUACGCGCCCUUUAAGCCCAGUGAAUCCGAACAACGUUCGCACGGUUCGUCUUACCGCGGCUGCUGGCAC